AAAUUUUAACACAGUGAGAAUGAAUCCCUUUGGAAGGAGGUGUCAGAGUUAAGAGCGAAGCAUGCACAGCAGCAGCAAGUUAUUCGAAAGAUUGUCCAGUUUAUUGUUACAUUGGUUCAGAAUAAUCAACUUGUGAGUUUAAAACGUAAAAGGCCUCUACUUCUAAACACAAAUGGAGCCCCAAAGAAGAAUCUAUUUCAGCACAUAGUCAAAGAACCAACCGAUAAUCACCAUCAUAAAGUUCCACACAGCAGAACUGAAGGUUUAAAGUCAAGAGAACGGAUUUCAGAUGACAUAAUUAUUUAUGAUGUUACUGAGGAUAAUGUGGAUGAAGAAAAUAUUCCAGUUAUUCCAGAAACAAAUGAGGAUGUUGUAGUUGAUCCCUCCAG
rnacentral:lncRNA from 1 species